CCUACGGGUGGCAGCAGUGAGGAAUAUUGGUCAAUGGACGCAAGUCUGAACCAGCCAUGCCGCGUGAAGGAAGACGGCCCUAUGAGUUGUAAACUGCUUUUGUACGAGGGUAAACGCAGAUACGCGUAUCUGUCUGAAAGUAUCGUACGAAUAAGGAUCGGCUAACUCCGUGCCAGCAGCCGCGGUAAUACGGAGGAGUCAAGCGUUAUCCGGAUUUAUUGGGUGUAAAGGGUGCGUAGGCGGACGGAUAAGUCAGAGGUGAAAUCCCGAGGCUCAACUUCGGAAUUGCUUCUGAUACUGGUCGGCUAGAGAGUAGUAGAGGUAGGCGGAAUGUAUGGUGUAGCGGUGAAAUGCUUAGAGAUUA
rnacentral:rRNA from 1 species